rnacentral:rRNA from 1 species
AAAUUGAAGAGUUUGAUCAUGGCUCAGAUUGAACGCUGGCGGCAGGCCUAACACAUGCAAGUCGAACGGUAACAGGAAACAGCUUGCUGUUUCGCUGACGAGUGGCGGACGGGUGAGUAAUGUCUGGGAAACUGCCUGAUGGAGGGGGAUAACUACUGGAAACGGUAGCUAAUACCGCAUAAUGUCGCAAGACUAAAGAGGGGGACCUUCGGGCCUCUUGCCAUCGGAUGUGCCCAGAUGGGAUUAGCUAGUAGGUGGGGUAACGGCUCACCUAGGCGACGAUCCCUAGCUGGUCUGAGAGGAUGACCAGCCACACUGGAACUGAGACACGGUCCAG